rnacentral:misc_RNA from 1 species
AUAACCUCCAAUACAUAUCCACACAAGGAACACAGCAAGAAUGCACAUUGAGGAACAAUGGGAGAAUAUUUGCAAUUUAUGAUAUUUUCCUGGUCCUAGACAAGAUGAAUGUGUAGUAGCAUCCAUACACUUACACUGACACGAUGAGGUGAACAGAAUGCUGCAGGAGUGCUGCUACCAGUUUUCCUCGACUAUUUUGGACUUCUCAAGUAUGAACUUCCCUUCCUUGUACUUCUGUCCUUCCUCAUAAGCUCGUUCAUAUUUCCAACCAAGCACCUCAUUACAGUCACAACAAUAGACAUCAGCAACU